ensembl:misc_RNA 7SK 7SK RNA
GGAUGUGAGGGCGAUCUGGCUGCAACAUCUGUCAUCCCAUUGAUUGCCAGGGUUGAUUCAACUGAUCUGGCUGGCUAGGCAGGUGUCCCCUUCUUCCCUCCCAAAGCUGCAUGCUCAGUCGAAGAAGACAGCCCUCCCUGAACAGAGACAGAUCGGUCCUCAGUUGAGGGUAUAUCAGUAGCUGUGCUCCCCUGCUAGAACUCCCAAACAAGCUCUCAAGGUCAAAUAGAAGUCUUCAUCUUCAAAGCUCCUAAGAUUAAUGUAUUAAUGUUGUUCAUAACAGGUUCAUU